GUCCCUAGUGUGUAGGAUACUGUUAGUGUAUGCGGUGAUCGCUGGUCGGCACGGACUCGGCGGGCCGAAGGGCCUGUUUCCAAGCUGGAUAUGUAAAGUCUAAAGACUGGGGCUUUGGUGAGUUUAAACAGAACGUGAGAACUGGGUGGGUUUGAAGGAAACUGAACACAA